rnacentral:rRNA from 1 species
CCUACCCAUGAGCAGGAUGAAGCGAAAGUAAAAUUUCGUGGAGGUCCGAACCCACGAGCGUUGAAAAGCUCGGGGAUGACUUGUGGGUAGCGGUGAAAUUCCAAUCGAGCCCGGAGAUAGCUGGUUCCCCCCGAAAUAGCUUUAGGGCUAGCCUCAAGGUGAGAGAUACGGAGGUAGAGCACUGAAUGUCCUAGGGGGUAUUGCACCUACCGAAGACUAUCAAACUCCGAAUGCCGU